rnacentral:lncRNA from 1 species
GAACGGAGAUCUGAUGACCAAGGACCCAAGGCCCUGUCCAGCCUCUGUCCUCCAGCGAUGGGCCUGGGUUAGGGAGACCAGGAGCGGCCACAUGUGUGUGCACGUGCAUGGAAGCACACACACACUCACACACUCGUGAUAAUUAGUAGACAUGAUCCUUCCCAAAGCACUGACCGAGUUUAAUGCAGGACGCUAGCCUGGCCCCUCAGGGCUACCACGGUGAAGAGCGUCCCUGCUCUCAAGAAACUUCGCCAUCAAGCCACAAAGAAACCCAGCAAGCUAUGGAGGGGAAACCCACCUCGGUGAUGGCUGACUCCCCAGGCAGCACAGAUCUUCAGGUCCUGCCAUGAUGGGAACAAGGGUGCAGAAGGUUAGGUCCCAUCCCCCUUUGGAAAUGACAAGCCUGUGUUUCCAGCUAUACAAUACAAGGUAUCUUUCCUAUUCAUGUUCUCAAUGAAAACUCACAACCAAAUCCGAUCUUUACUAUAUACUUUCCAUUUCCAGAG